CCCCUGAUCGCGGCGGGGUAAUGCUGCGGUAUUCUCCCUGUUGGACUUGGCCCGAGCUUUAUGCUCGGGUCUUUUUU
rnacentral:ncRNA from 1 species